GCCAAACAGCUAGCUUAAUUACCUCAUAACUUAAAAAUAUAAAUAAAACAAAAUAAACCCAACACCAAAAACUAAACCAUUCUUUUACCUGAGUAUGGGCGACAGAAAAGGUCCAACAAAGCAAUAGAGAUAGUACCGUAAGGGAAAGCUGAAAGAGAAAUGAAACAACCCAUAUAAGCACCAAAAAGCAAAGACUAAACCUUGUACCUUUUGCAUCAUGAUUUAGCCAGCACAUUCAAGCAAAGAGACCUUUAGUUUGAAAUCCCGAAACCAGAUGAGCUACCCCGAGACAGCCUACCAAGGGCUAACCCGUCUCUGUGGCAAAAGAGUGGGAAGAACUCCGGGUAGAAGUGACAGACCUACCGAACCUGGUGAUAGCUGGUUGCCUAAGAAAUGAAUAGAAGUUCAGCCUCAUCUACCUCUAACCAAACUAAUACCAAACAAGACAUAGAGAAACACAUGAGAGUUAGUUAAAGGGGGUACAGCCCCUUUAACAAAGGACACAACCUUUUCAGGAGGAUAAAGAUCAUAAUAUCUAAAACACACCGUUCUAGUGGGCCUAAAAGCAGCCACCUAAACAGAAAGCGUUAAAGCUCAGACAGAAAAAAGUUUAUUAUACUGAUAACUAAUCUUACUCCCCUAAACACUAUUAGGCCAACCCAUGCCAACAUGGAAGAGACUAUGCUAAAAUGAGUAACAAGAAGGCCAGCCCUUCUCCAAGCACAAGUGUAAGCCAAAUCGGACUAACCACUGGCAAUUAACGAACCCAACUCAAGAGGGCACUGUGAACUACAAAAAAAUCAAGAAAAACCCACAAUUAAACUAUCGUUACCCCCACACUGGAGUGCUAAUUUUUAAAGGAAAGACUAAAAGAAAUGGAAGGAACUCGGCAAACAAAAGCCUCGCCUGUUUACCAAAAACAUCGCCUCUUGCAAUACCAUUAAGUAUAAGAGGUCCAGCCUGCCCAGUGACCAAAAGUUCAACGGCCGCGGUAUUUUGACCGUGCAAAGGUAGCGCAAUCACUUGUCUUUUAAAUAAAGACCUGUAUGAAUGGCUAAACGAGGGCUUAACUGUCUCCCAUUUCAAGUCAGUAAAAUUGAUCUACCCGUGCAGAAGCGGGUAUAACCAUACAAGACGAGAAGACCCUUUGGAGCUUAAGGUAAAACUCAACCACGUCAAGCAACUGCCACAAGCAGCAGCAAACCUUGUGAUAAAUGAGAUUACACCUUCGGUUGGGGCGACCACGGAGAAAAAGAAAGCCUCCAAGUGGAGUGGGGCAAUCCCCUAAAACCAAGAGAGACAUCUCUAAGAUACAGAACAUCUGACCAUAAAUGAUCCGGCCACCUAAGACCGAUCAACGAACCAAGUUACCCUAGGGAUAACAGCGCAAUCCUCUCCCAGAGUCCAUAUCGACGAGAGGGUUUACGACCUCGAUGUUGGAUCAGGACAUCCUAAUGGUGCAGCCGCUAUUAAGGGUUCGUUUGUUCAACGAUUAAAGUCCUACGUGAUCUGAGUUCAGACCGGAGCAAUCCAGGUCAGUUUCUAUCUGUAACGCUACUUUUCCUAGUACGAAAGGAUCGGAAAAGAAGGGCCCAUGCUACAAGCACGCCCCACCCCUAAUUUAUGAAAACAAAUAAAUACAAAUAAAGGGAGAGCUAAAAUCCAAGCUAACCAAAAUAAGGACAU
rnacentral:rRNA from 1 species